AUCGGAGGAAAAGAAACUAACAAGGAUUCCCCUAGUAACUGCGAGUGAAGCGGGAAAAGCUCAAAUUUAAAAUCUGGCGGCUUUGGUCGUCCGAGUUGUAUUCUAGAGAAGUGUUUUCCGCGUUGGACCGUGUAUAAGUCUCUUGGAAUAGAGCGUCAUAGAGGGUGAGAAUCCCGUCUUUGACACGGACUACCAAUGCUUUGUGAUACACUCUCAAAGAGUCGAGUUGUUUGGGAAUGCAGCUCAAAAUGGGUGGUAAAUUCCAUCUAAAGCUAAAUAUUGGCGAGAGACCGAUAGCGAACAAGUACCGUGAGGGAAAGAUGAAAAGCACUUUGGAAAGAGAGUUAAACAGUACGUGAAAUUGCUGAAAGGGAAACGCUUGAAGUCAGUCGCGUUAGCUAGAACUCAACCAGGCUUGCUUGGCGUAUUUUCUAGUUAACGGGCCAGCAUCAGUUUUGACCGCAGGAAAAGGGCCAGGGAAAUGUGGCAUCUUCGGAUGUGUUAUAGUCUCUGGUCGUAUACUGUGAUUGGGACUGAGGACCGCAGCACGCGCAAGCUGUGCUUAGGAUGCUGGCGUAAUGGCUUUAAACGACCCGUCUG
rnacentral:rRNA from 1 species